CUUAAAAUUUGGGGGAGAAAGUAGAGAAAAGUAAACCACUAACCAAGCCUUCACCUACUGCUCAUCCUGUUCCUCUGCUCCAGUAUUCCAACCAUCAUCUAAGCUACCACCUUCUCUUCCAGAUUAUCCAACCGCCUCUUCAUUCUUCAUCCACACUCCUCCUUUGGCUCUGCCUUAGGUGGCUCAUCUUGCCAGACUUCACACUGAACAACUGCCAAGGAUGUUGCAAUGCAUGAGCUGUACGCAGGUUUCAGAAGCAAUGUACCUCUAAAACAAGCCAAUCAGCAGAGAAGAAACAAAAGCAACAUGGCGUCUUCUACCUCCAGCCUCGCAGCGUCCCAGAGCUCCUCUGCAAUAAUGUCUUAGUGAAAAGCCAGUGACUGCAAGCUACAUCUUGUCCACAGGAAGAGGAGGCAACAGGGUUGCUGCACCCAUGAGAAGGUAUGAAGGAACUCCUGAGGCCACGAUGCAUGGAAGCUUCUAGAAGAGGCCUCCCUAGUCAAGAAGCAGAGCAGCGAAUGAGCCUAAAGUCAUGGUCCAGCCUCCUCUUUAUUUGCUGCCAACCCUUGUCUAAGUGCUCUCUUAACUGCAGUCCUAAA